UUUUUUUUUUUUUUUUUUUUUUUUUUUGCCAAAGAAGGGAGACAAAUGACAGGAAUGAAAGAGACCCUGUUCGUCUCUGAUUAUCUGCCAGGACUUUAAUUCCUAGAGUAGAAACUAAGAAGGAACUUAAGAAGAGGUGGGGUUGGAGCUUUUGUGGAAUUUCUGGUGGAAAAUUGGGAAUGAAAUCGAAGGCUCUGUAUUCCAGCCACUCUUCCUCUUGGAUUGACAGAAAAAUGUAAACACCAGGGAGCUCCUAAGGAGUUUUGGACAACUUAGGAGGAUUUCUUGCUGUUUUUCCUCUUUCCACCUGGAAUUGAAGUUCUCCAGCAAUAAAAUUCAAUUUGUUUCAACCACAGCUGUGGAUGUUCCACCCUGGCAGUGUCCAAGGCCAGGCUGGACAGGGCUUGGAGCACCCUGGGAUGUGGGAGGUGUUUCUAUUCAUGCAGGGGUAGAAUGGGAUCAGCUUUAACUUCCCUUCCACCCCAAAGCACUCUGGGAUUCUGUGAAAAUAAAAUCGAAUAAACAAAAGAAAGGGGGAAAUCCACUGGGAAAUCCUUUGCACCUCUUUAGAGUUAAGAAGUGAAUGGUCCAAACUGACAUCUGUGUUCUUCCUACGUUCCCAAAACACAUUACAAGUCUCCCUUGCUGAUGAUGUCAGCUGGCUCUGAAAGCCUGCAGCAGAUUUAUUAUUUCCUUUGGAAAAAAAAUGCACUUUGUUCUUCCUACGAGAUGAUUCCCAUCAGCUCCAGCGUGCCAAAAGAAGCUGCUUUGGGAAGAAGCCAAGAAGAUGGAGACAAUGUGGGGGACCCUCAGCACAGACUAUUUGUGGGCUAGGGGAGAAAAUCUUGGUGCAAUUUUGGAUGUCUGCAUUUGCUGUGAGUUAAUGAGGAAGUUCCAGAGGUCUCAUUAAGAGACAUCGCUCCAAGAUCCCAUCUUUGUUUCCUUCAUUUUUCCUUUAAGCUGCUCCCAAGCUGGCUGAAAAGGAAUCUUUGUGAGAGCAGAUGAGAUAAACUUUGGGAAUUUGAAGGCAAAGAUGGCCCGGAGAGAUUUGAUGCAGUUAUUUCACUCUUGUGCUCAGAGCUGCCUGUGGCAGAGCUCUGAAAGCCCAGCUGUGUUUCCUUCCUGCUGCUCCAGCAUCUUUUUGGGAUGAGCAGAGAGUUCCUGGGAUACAAAUUUGAUGAUGCACGAGUGGUGGUGUCCCCAUCUCUGCAGGGAUUUCAAAGCCACGUGGAUGUGGCACUUGGGGACGGGGUCAGUGGUGGCCCGAUGACCUCAGAGGGCUUUUCCAGCCUGGAAGGUUCUGUGGUGGAAGUGCUGCCAGCCAGGCUGAGUUACCUGCCAGGACCUUCCCCAGCAGGUUUGAUCCCAGAUCCUUUGGCCAUUCCCUUUUCCUGGCUCACUCCUGGCAUCCAGGACGUGCCCAACAUGCUCCUUGUUCCUGGUGCUGUCCCCUGCAUGUCCCUUUGGCUCCUGGCACUGCCACCAAACCAGGCUGGAGGACAAAGCUGGCACUUCCACUUCAGAGUUCAGCUGAGCCCUCGCUCUGGAAGCGGUUCUGAACACAAUUCCAGACUGGUUUGGCUUCAAAGGGAUGUUAAAGCUCAUCCCAUUCCAUCCCCCUGCCAGGGGACACCUCCCACUGUCCCAGGCUGCUCCAAGCCCUGUCCAACCUGGCCUGGGACAUUUCCAGGGAUCCAGGACAGCCACAGCUUCUCUGGGAAUUCCAUCCCACCCAGAAAUUCCUUCCCAACAUCCCAUCCCUCCCUGCCCUCUGGCAGUGGGAGCCAUUCCCUGUGUCCUGUCCCUCCAUCUCUUUUAUAUAUAUAAUAUCACAUAACAUAUAAACUAUAUUUAUAACAACAACCUCACUUUUUCCCCCCAAAUUAAUAGCAAUUUCCAGGGAAUUUCAAAUGGGAAUUGUGGCGUUACAGCUGUUCCAAGGCAGGCAAUAUUUGGAAGGAUUUCUAACGAAGGACAAACAAAAUUUCUCCUCUCUCUUCCCUCCCCAGGACGCUCUCGUGUCCCAGGCAUGGAGCCGAGCUGUCUGCUCCUCACAGAAACCAGAGGAGCUGGAAAAUUGCAUCAGGGCAGAGAUAAAUCCCUCACCUGGGAGAAGCUGGGAUCCACAGGAGAGGCAGGAAUGUGAGAUGAGAUCUCCCACAAACGCUCCCCGAUAGUAACUGGGCAACACACAACGCUCCCAACCUGCACAAUCCACUGAAAUCCAGCCCUUGCCCUGCAGAGGAUUUGCAGAAGAGCUGCUUUCCCAAUUUCUUUUUUUUUUUUUUCCCUCUUGGAAUGCACAGAUAUCUUAAAAAAAUUCUAAACGUGCUUUCGUGGUUCAUCCUGCAAAAUUAAAAAUUCAGAUUUAAUUAUUUUUUUUCAAAUCUUCACUAGGAAUCUCAAAUGGUGACUAUGAUUUAUUGCUUCCUUGGAAGU
ensembl:lncRNA